GCCGCGGUAACACGUAGGGAGCAAGCGUUGUCCGGAUUUAUUGGGCGUAAAGAGCUCGUAGGCGGUUCGGUAAGUCGGGUGUGAAAACUUGAGGCUCAACCUCAAGAGGCCACUCGAUACUGCUGUGACUGGAGUCCGGUAGAGGAGUGUGGAAUUCCUGGUGUAGCGGUGAAAUGCGCAGAUAUCAGGAGGAACACCGACAGCGAAGGCAGCACUCUGGGCCGGUACUGACGCUGAGGAGCGAAAGCAUGGGGAGCGAACAGGAUUAGAUACCCUGGUAGUCCAUGCCGUAAACGUUGGGCACUAGGUGUGGGGUCUAGCUAACAGAUUCCGUGCCGCAGCUAACGCAUUAAGUGCCCCGCCUGGGGAGUACGGCCGCAAGGCUAAAACUCAAAGGAAUUGGCGGGGGAGCACGGUCAUACCUGUUUUCCUGA
rnacentral:rRNA from 1 species